rnacentral:rRNA from 1 species
UACGUAGGUGACAAGCGUUGUCCGGAUUUACUGGGCGUAAAGCGCGCGCAGGCGGUCUUCCAAGUCAGUGGUGAAAGCCCGGAGCUCAACUCCGGAACUGCCAUUGAAACUGUAAGACUUGAGGAUGAGAGAGGUGAGUGGAAUUCCCAGUGUAGAGGUGAAAUUCGUAGAUAUUGGGAAGAACACCGGUGGCGAAGGCGGCUCACUGGCUCAUAUCUGACGCUCAGGCGCGACAGCGUGGGGAUCAAACAGG